UGGGGAAUAUUGCACAAUGGGGGAGGACCCUGAUGCAGCGACGCCGCGUGAGCGAAGAAGUAUUUCGGUAUGUAAAGCUCUAUCAGCAGGGAAGAAAAUGACGGUACCUGACUAAGAAGCCCCGGCUAACUACGUGCCAGCAGCCGCGGUAAUACGUAGGGGGCGAAGCGUUAUCCGGAUUUACUGGGUGUAAAGGGUGCGCAGGCGGAAAGUGCAAGUCAGCGGUCAAACGACGGGGCUCAACCCCGGACGUGCUUUGGAAACUGUGGAUCUAGAGUGCCGGAGAGGUAAGCGGAAUUCCUAGUGUAGCGGUGAAAUGCGUAGAUAUUAGGAGGAACACCAGUGGCGAAGGCGGCUUACUGGACGGUAACUGACGUUGAGGCUCGAAAGCGUGGGGAGCAAACAGGAUUAGAUACC
rnacentral:rRNA from 1 species